ACUGGGGCCAGAGAGAUUUCAAUUCAUAUCCAGUUUUCAUUCGUUGAGCACGUGUGUGUAAAUAAGAAAUUGUUUAGAACUUUUUAAAAGUAUUUCAAAGUAUUUCACAAGGUAAAUUGUUCAAGGAGUUUGCAAGGAUUUCAUCACCAUCACAAGAUUUUUAAAGGAUUUCUCACUAUCACAAGGUAAAUUGUUCAAGGAGUUUUGCAAGGAUUUCAUCACCAUCACAAGAUUUUCAAAGGAUUUUCAAAGGAUUUCUCACUAUCACAAGAAAGUGAAAGGCUUGUUCGAGGAUUUCGCAAGAAGUUUCACCAUUUGAAAGAAGAUAAGACUUGUACGAGGAUAUCGCAAGAAGUUUCACCAUUUGAAAGAAGAUAAGACUUGUUCGAGGAUUUCGCAAGGAUUUCAUCAACUUUACAAGUUUGGGAAUUUCACAAGGAUUUGAUCUAUAUUACAACCAAUUUUUCAGAAAAUCGCUUUUAGGAUUUCUACAAGGAUAUACAAAAUGCCGUACGAGCUGAUGAAUUUUCACUCGAUUUGCUCGAAACUUGGUUUUGCAAUCCAGCAAUUCUGUUAUCCCAACGGGUGCAAUGUUGGCCAUCGAGGAUACAAGUCGAAGUACAACGCUGCCUUUUCACCAUGGUUCGAGGAACUUUGGGGACCAAUGCGUUCCAAGGACACUCGUGUGCCAUUUCGUCUAACGACAAAUCGUGGUUCGUUUACCAACAUGAUGAUAGCCAGAGCCCAUAUGUUGUAUCGACUUUUUCGAUUUACGUCGCGGAGGACUCUAGUGGGUCGAAAAAUAUCUUAUAAUUUUUCGAGAUUGAUUAAUCGCAAGCGCGAGGAGAAACACAAGGGCAUCCCGGGCAUCCCGGCCUGCUAGUCCCUUCGAAACGCGAAGGAUGGGCAACCACUUAUAGUCUCCCGUUGGUUGCUCUAAUUUGGAGAGAAUAAGGAGACCAUUUAAAGACCAAAAAGGCCUUUAAGAAUGAUACAAAAUUUUCGUAUGGUAUAAGUUUCUACAUUUCAAUCGAUUGUAAACUAAAUUUUUAGUGUUAAUAUUUAUCUUUGAUUUGGAUAAGAAAUAAUAUCAUUCUAUUAAAAAUAA